UUGCUAGAUUUUCAUCAUUAUGGAUACCAACUCAUUUCUAACAGAACAAAAAAAUUUUGAGCAAACAUGACUCAAAACUGAAUGGGGAAAAUUAGAUACUACGAAGUCCUAUAAAUCAGAUGAGCCAAGUAAAUCAUUAGCAGACACCGGGCCAAACUUUCAGUUUGCCUUAAAUUCGUUCCAACACCGGACGAGUAGGUAAAAAUACAGACCGCUUAGCUAUAGCUGUCUGUUUAAAACAAUGUAAGAUCAAAAGAACUCUAGAAAUAAACCCACUCAAAAUUUAACCUCAUCCUCAACACAAGCCACCUUCUGGACUGUAACCUCUUUGCCCAAACUGCCUAAUCAGAUGCUACUGAAUGACAUAAGUAAAAUUUAGUCAUCUCGAAAAAAUUUUGCACGGUUUUUCAACGGGAUUUUAAAUAUCUACAAUAUAUUCACCAUACAAAAUUUAAUUGGUCAAAACUGCAAAUAGAAAAAAACGGGUAGAACUUGUGAUAGACCUGUGAUUCUAUUUACCCUCUUAAGCAAUGGAAUUAACUAAAUUCUGAGAGAUGGAAAAUUAGGCGGACAACUCACGACUGUAAUAUGCUUAUGGAAUAUUUUUGUACUUCGAGGAAAGAAUCACUUUUCACUCUAUAAACAUGGUUAUUUAGGAUUUUACCAUAGUCCAUUGGGAUCAAACAUCCAAGUGACUUCAUCAAAACAGGAACUUGGACCUUUUCACUCGUGUUCCUACUGACUAGUGAAACACAGUAAGAACAAAGCUGUCAACAGCUCUACAGCGAUCCAAGGGGAGGCUUUAAAAUUUCAUGAAAAUCCCGAGGUUCGCGUCCGGCCCACUCACCGACGAAUUGCCUCCCGGUCGCGGCCGCAGCAAUCGGCCCGUCACCGGGCCCCGCCGCGGGGAAGAAAGGCGAAAGGACGGCGCCCGAUUGGGGCUUCGAGUCGUUGAGGGAGGAGCUGUGCCUCGGCGGCACGCCCUGCGGCCACCGGAGACCUGCCAGCUCCGCGGGGGCGGAGGGAAGCUGGCCGCAGGGAAGGGCGGGCCUUGAGGUCGGAGGUCAACCGCGCGGCAUUACGGGAAGGGCGGUGGAGGUCGCUAUUGGCGGCGCAAGUGGACCGUCUCCCCGAGCCACCUGCAGCUGCGGCGCGACCUCUGGCGGAGGAAUCUGGGCGAAUCCAGCGCGUGAUUGGUCGCUCUGAGGUCAGCGCUGAUUUGGGAAGCUUCCGCGCGCCAGUGGGCCAGGUGCAGCCUCAGCUGUGAGGCUGUGGUUGGCGAGAUGGGGACGGAUUAGGCUUCGCUGAGCUUUAAUGUUAAAAUUUGAGGACCUGGAAACCGACGCCGUUUCUGCCGUCGGGAAGUGCAGCUUCCCUCCUGGCCGCCUGGUUCGUCUCCGCCUUGACAUGUCGAGACGAAACCGAAGAGCUACUGUUGCCUAGCAGCUGGAGGUUGUGCUAUGUCAGCCGCUCUCGGGGCACCUUGCUAACUCACAAAAGAGGGGAAGGCAAACCCCGUGAGAUUUUAAGCAUUUACUACCGCGAUAAAGCAGAUGUGGCCAUGUGGCUGCGUUCCAGAUGCUGGUGUGUUGGCAGAAUGGAGACAUGGCAUUUCCAGGCUGUACCAUGACAGCCUUUCUCACUCUCUUCCCUUCUGCCAGCUGAUGAAGAGGAAGGCAGGGGGUGAGUCCCCUGGGCUAUGAUGGCAGUAUAAGCCCUGAAGGAAGUAGUUACGUGGCAGCUGGUCUUAAUCUUAACCAAUACUCUUCUAAAGGAACUCCAAGGAACUCUUGAAAACAACUCAGGAAGUCAUAAAUGUCUAGAAGAAUUUAAAUUGUAACUUUGCAUAUUGCUUUCUAAAUUAGUGGUCACAUUUGGCCUGACUGGGGAUGGGGGUUCCAAAGAUGGUGACAUGAGCACGGGUUCUCUUUAAAAUCCUCACCAAAAUGACCUAUGGGACAGGCUCAAGGGGAAGAAAAAGCCACGUUAGCUGGAAAUCUGGAGUGCCACUCAAGCACUGGACGUAUGGGAGAAUUUCUGGUAAGACACAAUAUUGAUGUGUUACUGUCAUAUUGAGUAACAGUGACCGUGAGAUGUGAUCAUCAAGUGACUUCCCUUUGUCACACACUGUGUCAUUACAUUGGUCUGUGAGCUUGUUUUUUUCUUUGCCCCUGGACCAAACAGCUGGUCCCAUGACCUUUUCUUUCUUUUUAACUAUUAGGUAAUUACAAGUUAUGUAGUUAGUUCAAGUCAGUGCAGAGGCUCACUCUUAAAUGCCCAGUCCUAUGUAAUAAAACUCUUACACUGAUUUAAAGUGGAGACUUCCCCUCCUUCAGUGCAGGUCUAUAGCAAGCUGGCCACAGACAGUAGGAGAAAGAGGUGGGAAGCUGGGUGACAUCUUCUAAGUUCCUGUCUUGUUCUUCUGCUCCUUCUUUUUUAGCAUAAAAUCAUGGUUUUUGACCUCUCCAGGGAUUAAUCUGCAGGAGGUGUGGUGCUAGGGUUCAGGGUGGUGGAGUACAGGAGCAUGUCGAGGGAUCGUAGUUGAUGACUACUGUCUUGCCUGGCAGUUGUUUAAAGCAGAUUCUUUCUCUUGUGGUUUUGGAGGCCACCCCAUCCCCGUGGAUUUCUCACCUAGACUUCAGUCUAGAAACUGAGAGAGUAUAUUGUGUUCCAGGGAAACAUAAGAAAAAAAAACCCGAACCUCUGCCUUGGACUCGAAAAGUUUACACUGAACUGGAAACACAAGUAGGCCAACUGAAAGUCAAAUUUUAAUGAAAAUAGACAUCACAUCCAAGGACCAGAUAUUUAGACACAACUUCCAAAGUGAGCUCACAGGGAUACUUGAUCUUCAUUUAGCACUAAGAGAUUAAGUCUUCUUAUUCCAUGUGAUCAAAACAGUUGGAGUCAGAGUAAAAUGUCACAUGCUUACCUUAACAGUAUAUUUUCACUUAAAACAUGCAAACACAUAUGCAUUCAAUACUUUACAGAUAAAGAGCCAGAAAAUAUUGGGGCUACCCAUCACCACACUCAUAGUGCACUGUCUGUGAUUUCUGUUUUCAGCCUCAAUGUCUGUAGCGGAGUGGGCGCUUAGAGACAGCUGUACAGCAAUUGGCUCCUUUAACUGUUCGCUGAGCUUCCCAACCUUAGAUGUUUGUUUUAUCCACGUCUAAUGGAACAGCAAUUAUUUUCGUUGAACUUUUACAAAGCAUUUGAUUUUUGUUUUCAUAAAAAUAACUUGCUUUUCGUGCUGAUUUUAUUAGUAUUAUUUAUUUUUUUAUUAAGCUAUCAUUGAUACACAAUCUUAUGAAGGUUUCACAUGAGCAACAUUGUGGUUACAACAUUCACCCAUAUUAUCGAGUCCCCACACACAAACCAUUUCGCACUCAAUUUAUUAGUUCACAUAAUUUCAAUAACUAGUAAAUAAAUAAAACUAGCCAUAAAUCUGUUUGGGAGCAAACCCCCUUGACUCUUGGUAAGUAUACAACUCAACUGUUGGGGGCAGUAGUGAGUGAUCUGGCCCCGAUCACUCAGGGCUAUGGGCAGCUUGGCAGCAAGCUCUGCAGAGGAACAGAAGGGUGCCCGUUAAUCUGGGAAAUUGUUGAAGUGGACUGUGUACUAAGAAGCGUCUACCACAUUUAUUCUGCUUGGAAUAGCAUGAUAUCAUGGAAAGAGCAUGGCCCUGGGGUUUAAACAGAGCUAGGUUUAAAUCUUAAAUUAUUUUUUUCUAGCUCAGUGACUUAGGGAAAAUUACUUAAUCUUUCUGAAUCUCAACUUCUUUAUUUGUAAAACUUGGUAACUAUUCAUGAGAAUUAAAACCAAAUAGUGAAGAUUCUAACAUCUAGUUGGUCAAUAAACAAUAGCUGUUAAUAUUAUUAUCAUUA